rnacentral:lncRNA from 1 species
GGCGGUCAUGGGCUGUGGAACAAUGGGUUUUGUUUCUUUUGUUGUCUUUUUGUCUUUAAUUUUCCUUCUUUAAUUGCAUGGGCUGGCAACCGGCAGUGUCACGAGUCCUGCUCUCCAGAUAUGAUAAAAACAUAACAAACGUUUCUUAAAUAGGGUAACUAAAUGUAAUUAAUAUAUAUGACAUUUAAUAUAAGUAUGUUUUUCUA